AGAGUUUGAUCCUGGCUCAGAAUCAACGCUGGCGGCGUGCCUAACACAUGCAAGUCGAGCGAGAAAAGGGGGGCAACUCCCUGAGUACAGCGGCGCACGGGUGAGUAACACGUGGGUAAUCUGCCCUGGAGUGGGGAAUAACACCGGGAAACCGGUGCUAAUACCGCAUACGAUCACAGAGUCUGCGGAUUUUGUGAUGAAAGGAGCAAUUCGCUCUAGGAGGAGCCCGCGGCUGAUUAGCUAGUUGGUGAGGUAAUGGCUCACCAAGGCAACGAUCAGUAUCCGGUCUGAGAGGACGGUCGGACACACUGGAACUGAGACACGGUCCAGACUCCUACGGGAGGCAGCAGUGGGGAAUUUUUGGCAAUGGGGGCAACCCUGACCAAGCAACGCCGCGUGGGUGAUGAAGUCUCUUGGGACGUAAAACCCUUUCGACGGGGAAGAAAACCGCAAGGUUUGACGGUACCCGUAGAAGAAGCCCCGGCUAACUCCGUGCCAGCAGCCGCGGUAAUACGGGGGGGGCAAGCGUUGUUCGGAAUUACUGGGCGUAAAGGGCGCGUAGGCGGUUCGCUAAGUUGGAUGUGAAAACUCUGGGCUCAACCCAGAGCCUGCAUCCAAAACUGGCGGGCUAGAGUUCUGGAGGGGGUAGCGGAAUUCCUGGUGUAGCGGUGAAAUGCGUAGAUAUCAGGAGGAACACCGGUGGCGAAGGCGGCUACCUGGACAGAAACUGACGCUGAGGCGCGAAAGCUAGGGGAGCAAACAGGAUUAGAUACCCUAGUAGUCC
rnacentral:rRNA from 1 species